UAUAUCCUACGGGGCGCAGCAGUGAGGAAUAUUGGUCAAUGGUCGGGAGACUGAACCAGCCAAGCCGCGUGAGGGAGGAAGGUACAGAGUAUCGUAAACCUCUUUUGUCAGGGAACAAAGACUGGGACGCGUCCCCGGAUGAGUGUACCUGAAGAAAAAGCAUCGGCUAACUCCGUGCCAGCAGCCGCGGUAAUACGGAGGAUGCGAGCGUUAUCCGGAUUUAUUGGGUUUAAAGGGUGCGCAGGCGGUCUGUUAAGUCAGCGGUCAAAGCCCGGGGCUCAACCCCGGCCCGCCGUUGAAACUGG
rnacentral:rRNA from 1 species